ensembl:lncRNA
GAAGAUUCUAAUGGAUGCUCUGAACAAUUAGAGGGCCUCUUCAGCUGCUUUUUCAGUUUGAAGUUAUGAUUGGAGGAGACCUCGAAAUUCAGCUGUGUGCAGUAUUUACAGAGUAGUUCCCCGUUAUCCGCGGUUUUAGUUACCCGUGGUCAACUGCAGGCUGGAAGCGGAUGAUCCUCUUUCUAACCCAUCUUCAGAAGGUCAGUAGUAGCCUAGUGCUAGGUCACAACGCCUACGUCAUUCACCUCACUCCAUCUCAUCACGUAGGCAUUGUAUCAUCUCACAUCACCACAAGAAGAAGGAGAGCAAAAGGAAGUAUGAAAUAGUCACAGUCUCAGGGAGAAAAUAGUGUUUCUUUAGCGGAACACUGGUGCCCACUGAACAACUGUUACAAAGGAAAUGUAGCUCCUACAAUGAGGGAAAUUUUUCCAAGCCUACUUUCCAAAGGUGAGUGUGUAAUAGCAAUAAUCCUAAAAAUGAGAAUGCAAUUCAUGAAGGAAUCCCUUGCAACCUGCCACCCUCACAUUCUAAAUGUAUUCAUUUCCCAAAACCAUCAGAACAUAUCCUAAAUUAAGACCAACACACAAGCAAAAGCAGCAUUGUACCACCAUUUUUCCACCACUGCACUGGCCAUUUUUCAACCACAGACCCCCAUCCCACUGAGCCCAGACUAGGGCAAUUACAGAGGAGAUAGCGAGAAGUGAAUAGAGGAAAAACUGACAAAGAUAGAUCGGGUACGGGCAGAAGGGGUGGUGAUGGCAAAGAAUGUUUCAAAGAUAGUCUCUCAGUUUCUGAAGGGAAUGAUGAUGCGUUUAUGGAGAUACAAAUUCUGGAGAAAGACUGGAUUUGGAGGAGAAAGACCAUGAUGGGGAAAAAUCAGAAAUGAGAAACAUCCUGCAAAUAGAGAAAUGGGAACAACUGAAAGAACCAGGCCCCACAGGAGAUGGCAUUUGACAAUCAUAGCAACUGUUUGCCAGUCUUCCCACAUCAUAAAAAAUUCAAAAACACAAACAACCAAAAGGGAAAAAAAAAAGAAAAGAAAAGAAGAUGGGGGGGGGAAUCCUCUAAUGUUCUUGGACCUCACUAGAAACAUAAAAAAGAAAUGACAGCCUUAUGUUCAACAUGGACCUUUUGUGAAUUGUUUAUCUCUCAGAAAGUCCAGGAGUGUCGGAAAAUUCAAUCAGUGGUUAGUCAUCGAAUGGACGUGUCUGCCUGUGGUUCAUUUUGUUUAUUGCACCAUAUAUCUUUUAUGAUCACCGGGAUUUUAGCCUGAAACAGCAUUUUCUUUAACAAGAGCCAUGUUUCCUUUAACGUUGUUUAUUGCGUCUGAAACCUUAUUCUUUGAAAUCAUGGUACGUUUUCUGUUGAGCAAAGGUCGGCAACUGAAUCCUGCAUGAAUGUGUUUAUUCAGGAUCUAGAGUAAAAAAAAAAAAGAAAGAAAACUCGACCAGUUCAUGUAACAUUAAUCACUUUGCCAGUGUUCAGCUGAGGUCAUUGCCACAUUCCUAGCAGUAUUAAGGCAAGUCAAGAUUAAUCACGUACAUUAAACCUUGGAAGGGAAGCGCGUGAAAGGGAUCUCAAAUUAGACAUUUCUUAAAAGAUG